UACGUAGGGGGCAAGCGUUGUCCGGAAUUAUUGGGCGUAAAGAGCGUGUAGGCGGUCCGGUAAGUCACUUGUGAAAUCUCUGAGCUUAACUCAGAACGGCCAAGUGAUACUGCAUUGCUAGAGUGCAGAAAGGGCAAUCGGAAUUCCGGGUGUAGCGGUGGAAUGCGUAGAGAUCCGGAAGAACACCGGUGGCGAAGGCGGCCUGCUGGGCAGUUUAGCUGACACUGAGGCGCGACAGCGUGGGGAGCAAACAGG
rnacentral:rRNA from 1 species